rnacentral:rRNA from 1 species
GGGUCCGGACACACUGAGGAUUGACAGAUAUACGCUCAUUGCAUGUGCUUCGGCGCUGCUUUGAGCUGAAAGAUGCUAGUUCUUUCAUGAUUAUGUGAUAGGUGGUGCAUGGCCGUUCUUAGUUCGUGGAGUGAUCUGUCUGCUUAAUUGCGUAUCAAUAAUAGAGACCUAGUAUACGCGCGGAUUUCGUGUGGUAGUGACCCCCUGUUCGCAGGCGUGUGUCGCACACGCGUGCCGCGCACUGGUCUCAGAUAGCAACGAACGUGACCGUAUUCUAUUGUUGCAGUGAAUAUGUGUGCCUUCGGGCAUACGACCCACUGCUUAGUGUGAGCUUUGCCUCGUGCACAGCAUCAUACAUUAAACUAUAGAGACCGCUGUUUUCUUCUUUAAACCAGAGGAAGGAUACGGCAAUAACAGGUCUGUGAUGCCCUCAGAUGUUCCGGGCUGCACACGUGCUACAAUGAUCAUUGCACUGUGCAUCUAACCCAAUGUGCGUGGACGCCGCAUGUAUGUACUCCUUGUGGGUACACGCAUUGCUGAGCGACCACGCCGAACCUACUUCGAAAGUAAAAUUUCUCUGUGGGU